rnacentral:rRNA from 1 species
UCUGUAGGUGAACCUGCAGAUGGA